rnacentral:lncRNA from 1 species
AUGCCAUGAAGGAAGCGGUGCAUAGCGAAGAUUGUGCUGGUAGGGGCAGAGGCCCAGGAUCCAAACAAUGGUGCACUAAUUGCAGCGAAGUCGGGGGACUUCGGGAGCUACUAGGCGACGGACUGUCCUAGAGCGGUGCUUCAUCUAGGUGUGACCCAAGAGUGGGUGGAUGAAGGUCGAUUGCCAAAGGAGCGAACAAAAUCGAAGGUGGA